rnacentral:snoRNA from 1 species
AAACCAUGGUGAGUAGCCUUGUAAUCUCUCCCAGGCUUCACUUAAUCCUUCCAAGCCCUUCUGUUGAAAGCUGGAGAUCUCAUUUCUCAGCUU